UACGAGGGGGGCAAGCGUUGUUCGGAUUUAUUGGGCGUAAAGGGUGCGUAGGCGGUUUGGCAAGUCUUAUGUGAAAUCUUCGGGCUCAACCCAGAGACUGCUUCCGAAACUGCUGUGCUUGAGUGUGGGAGAGGCGCGUGGAAUUGCAGGUGUAGCGGUGAAAUGCGUAGAUAUCUGCAGGAACACCCGUGGCGAAAGCGGCGCGCUGGACCACUACUGACGCUGAGGAACGAAAGCUAGGGGAGCAAACAG
rnacentral:rRNA from 1 species